CACACAAACGCCCGCGAUCACCUCCUCCUCACUCUCUCUAGCACACGAGCUUGGUUGCGCAAACAUGGGCAACGUCCUGCCGCAUCCACGCAUGUGCAGGGAAACCAGGGUGGUGGACGCCACCGUUGCCGGAGCCAAGAUGGUGAAGAGGAAGGAGCGGCCAGCGGUGGCCAAGGACGUCGUCGAGGAGAAGGAGGUGGAGUGCCGCGUGGAGAACGGCGGGGUGAGGUUGAAGGUGCUGAUGACCAGGAAGGAGGCGGCGGCGUUCAUGGCGAGGCUGGAGGAGCAGGCCGCGGCGGAGAGUAAAUCCAGGACGGGGGAGAUCCUCGCCGGCGGCGUGAUGAGCCCGUGCGAAGCUGCGUGGAGGCCCCAUCUCGCAACCAUACCGGAGACAUACUAGCUUAGCUAUCUCCGGCCUCUUCCCGCAUGCAUGGUUUGACCAAGAUGGGCGUUUUUUUGUACCUAGUGACGUAGUAGCUCGUAGCUGUACAAUUUCGGGAUACUAGCACUAGAUAUUCAGAUGCUCGUAACUUUCAGAUCAUGUACGUGGUUGUUCCUCCUGUUUUCUGUAUGACUGGCCAAGCACCUUUUUUUAGGAAAUUGACAGUGAAGCA
rnacentral:rRNA from 1 species